AGAAUGAGUGUACAAACAUCAAUAAACAUAUGAAGAGUUGAAAGACAGUAUUAUCUACCAACAUGGUAUAACAUAGCUAGAGAACACUCAAUUAGACAAUUGAAUUAGUAGUCAAAAGUCUCUCAAAAAUAAAAUUCCAGUAUCACUCAGCUUCAGUGAAAUCUCUAUCAAAUACUAGAGGAAGAAAUGAUGCAACUCUGUACAUAAUUUCCCAAAAAAAACCGAAGAGGAAAAAAUGCUUUUCAACUCAUUUCAUAGGACCCUUAUUACUCUGAUCUGAGAGGCAGAUAAAGACAGCACAAAUAUAAAAAGAAAAACCACAAGACCAGUAUCUCUAAUGAACUUUAGACACAAACCUCUCAAAAAAAAGUUAGUAAAGUCAACUCCAAAAUAUAUAAAAUUACUGUUCCUCAUGUCUAAGUUGGAUUUGUCUAGGUAUACAAAUUUGUUCUAUAUUUGAAAAAGCACUGCAAUCCCUUAACAUACAGAAAAACACACAUGAUUAUGUUAAUUUGAGGCAAAAAAAAUCUGUUAAAAUUCAACAGCUGUUUAUAAUAAAAAUGAAACUCUUUCCAGUUGGUAAUAAUUCACAUUACAUCAUACUUCAAGGUGAAGAACAAUGUUUUCUCCUUUCAGGUUGGCAAGCAAAGGAUGCCAGUUCUCAGCUUUUUCAGUCUUCUGCCGCAUAGCACUGGGAGUUCUAGCCACAGGGGAAAAAAGGCAAAAGAUCCAUGGACAACAAAUACUUGUAUGAAAAGAUAUUCCACACCAUCAUGGAAAGCAAGGACUAUAAAUUAGUUAUGGUCACUGCCUCAGUCGAUGAUCCAUUGCUGUGAAGAGACACCAUGACCAAGGCAACUCAUAAAGGAAAGCAUUUCAUUGGGAGCUGGCUUACAAUUUCAGAGGAUUAGUCCAUUAUCAUCAUGGCAGGAAGCACUGCAGCAUGCACACAGACAUGGUGCUGGAGAAGUAGCUGAGAGUUCUGCAUCUGGAUCCAAAGGCUGCAGGAAGAGAGUGACACUGGGCUUGGCUUGGGCCUCAAGCCCACCACCAGUGACACAUUUCCUCCAACAAGGCCACACUUCCUAAUUCUUUCAAAUAUUGCCAAUCCCUAAGCAUUCAAAUAUAUAAACUUACCGAGGCCAUUCUUAGUCAAACCACCACGGUCACUCUGAAGAAGAACUUGGUACUUCCUAUUAACACUAAAUAUAUAGUGUUAACAUUAUAUAGUAACACUAGAUGUAAGUAUAUAACUCUGAAACUGAGCUGUUGGAUAUUUAUCUCAGAGAAAUGGAGCCUUAAGAGGCUUUGUUUUCCAUCUCUUAAAGUUUUCAAUCGACUGCAUGUGAGUGACCAACAUUACGGGUAAACUGCUUCACCUGAUUUAAAUAUUAAUCAUAUCUACAAAAUACUUUUACUUAUACUUAUAGAUCAAUGACUAUUUGACGAGAUAUCUGUGUGAAAUACUCUAAGUGACAUACAAAAUUAAGCACCACAAACUAGAAUGAAACAACGUCUGGUUUUAGCUAUUCUGAAACCACUUCUCUGUGUACUCUUUGGUACAUAUUGUCACCAUCUGCACACCACACUUAUCAGGUUACCCUGCACAUACACAUAGGGGUAGAAAUGCCAAGCUCUUUUCUCUUUCAUGGGUCAACAUAUUAAGGCAAAUUUGGCCUUCCACAAUAUGAUCUGACCUGGUAAUUAUCUUCCAUAUCUGGUUCACUGUGGACCUGAUAUUCACACCCCAAAUUUUGUAGAACCCACUUCAUAACCUUCCUUCACACUCAACAACCUCAUUCCUUGCCAUAAGAGCUUGAUUUUAUUUUCACCAUUAUUGACCACUUCCUGUAAAAAUCCUUUCUUUGUGGUUGUCCACCCUGCAGCAGCCGGCGCUCUGGAGAAUUGCUAGAUGGUUCUGAGGUCUCCUAUCUUCUUUCCUUACUUGCUGUCCAGGUCAUCCUCCGGACAAUGGAACACUCACCGGUUAGGUCAGCCAUGGCCUAUCUUCAUUCAGCCUUUCAGCUGCUGAUUGUGGGCAGAUGGUACUGGCCCUCUCCCUUUCUUAAGAUUAAGAGGAAGGGUCUGAGUUUUGAGAGAAGGCUUUUCCCCUCAAACUUUUCAGACAGUUUCUGAUGUCUUUGGUGUUAUGGGUAACUGGAAAGAAAACAGGGAGAAUGCAGUUUAGUUUGCAGGGAAAGGGUGGAGGAAGGAUUAUAAAAUCAAGGGAUUUAUGGAGAGGUGUAUGGCCUGAAGGUUGUGUUCUAUGAGAGGACAGGGUAGAAGUGAUGGGCCAAGGAAACAAGGAGAACAGGAGGAGAGCUUUAGAUAGCUCAUCACACCUUGAUAUUGUCCCUAGAUCUGGUUGAGAGGGGAGUUUUCCUUUCCUUCCCUCCUUUGGUGUUUGGGGUCACUUUGUGAAUUUCUGUAAUAUGUGCUGCUCGUUUUCUUUUAUAUUCUCCAUCUCUACACUACCAAAGGGUCUGUCCCAGUCCUCCUGCCUUCAUAUAUAUAUAUAUAUAUACAGGCUAAGGGAGGCCACUCCCUUAGACUUAGUUUGAUUUGCAGCCAUGCACCUAGCCAAGAGGGUUGUGGGGACUUAGCCAUCCCUGAAUCCGGGGUGGGAGAGGGAAGCUAAUAUUCAUAGUAUAUUAUUUUCCCUUUCCAUGGGGUAGAAGGUAUGCGGUACUCCAAUAAACUCUAGAUGGAGAAAGGGAUCAUUAUUCAGUACCUCUUUGCCUUCCCAACUGGUCUUCUAUUAUCUUAUCUACUUGUAUUCCAGUGAAUUACAUAGGAUUGAGAAAAUGGUUCAUACAAUCGUCUUCUUUAGGUACCCUAUUCAGUUCAUUCUACUUUUGUCCACCAUUCAUAACUACCUAUUGCUCAUAUGUCUUAUAUAAAACUCUUCCAAGAUUAAUAUGACUGUAUUAAGCUUCUGUGGAGAUAUAAAUCAUCAAUAUUCCGUUAAAAUUACUCUUUGUUUAAAUUAAUUAAUGUGUGUGUGUGUUUGUGCGCACGCACACGUGUGUUUGUCAGAUGAUAGCUUGUCAAAGUCAACUCUUUUUUUCAACCAUGUAGUGCCCAGGAAUUGAACUUUGGUCCUCAAGCUUGAUGGCAAGCACCUUUACUCACCAAGACAUCUCACCUGCCUGAAUCAUCUCACUUCCAGACUACAAACUGUUUUGUGCAGCCAUGUAUGGCUACUAACACAGAAUUUUUCUAUCCA